GCGCGGUGUGCGGCUGCCAGAGGCUGCUCGGCGCCGGCCCCGCUGGCUGCCAGCGGCCGACUUUCCCCCGCACCUCCCCUUUUCCCUCGCGGAGAGACUGGGGGGCAGCGCAAAAAGCCCUUCCGAGCUCGGGAGUACCCGUGUCGACUGAGGGAGCCCCCGCCCUUAGCGGCACCCACGACUCUUAGCCUCUGGUACUGAGUCGGACUGAAGGCGGGAGUCCUAGCUGAAAGGAGCCGUCGAAACGCCUCCCGACCUAACCCCGUACACCAAACACGAGUAAAUGAGGCACGGACUGGUGUCUGCAGCACACCCCUCGGUAGAAGCAAAUCUGAGGAAGGAAUUCUGGGGUGAUUAUUGCUGCUUCUACUUUCUGAAGUGAGAUAGAUUGUAAAGCAGGUACAUCAAAGGCAGACGUCUCUAGAGUGCCAAAGAAGAAUGUAAAGCUGACUCUUUGGAAAACAGCCUGGGAUGAGAGCUGAGAGAUCAGGGCUGAAGCGGCUGUUCCAUGAAACACGGUUGUGCUGUUUCUCAGUCCUGUGUGGAACACUGGGCUGUUUCCAACCCUCUACAGAUUUCUUCCUGGAGUGGGCAACUUCAGCUGCUUCAGCAUGCCGCCAGGCAAGCCAAGAUUUUGGGCUCCUGAAAUUCUUGGAAUGAAGUUUUUAUUCAUAACCCAACCCAGUACAGAAGACUAGACAAACUUCCUCAAUUUGCACAGCUUAAGCAG
ensembl:lncRNA